UUCUAGGGUUGUUUGUUUUCAUAUCUUUCGUCCCUCCAUCUUGAGUUUCCUGAGAGUGUCUCAGAUUUGAAACUCCUCCUUCUACUUUUCAUCUUUGGAAGAGUCCAAAUCAAGAAGAAGGAGGCACCUGAUCAACCAUCAAAGAAGGAUCAGCGCAGUACUAGCAUACUGUGCUGAUUUCCUGAAGUAGGACUUCUGAUCGAGAUUUGUGGGCUCGUGUGGAUGACUCCUAGAGGCCGGAUGUGUGUGUGGCUUGCAACAUCAUCCUUAAGCCCGGAUC
rnacentral:lncRNA from 1 species